UGUAAGCGUAUACAAAAGUUGUUGCAGUUAAAACGCUCGUAGUCGGAAUUUGGCAGUUCCGGAAGUGUGCACGUCGUGUGCGCACUUUGCGGGGACUGCUUUUGUGGUCUUGCGUAGGAUGAGGCACUUUCAUUAGUGAACGUCCUCACGCAACCACUCUUUACUGUGAGAAAAUCAGAGUGCUCAAAGCAGGCAUUUGCCGUGAAUGUAUUAGCAUGGAAUAAUAGAAUAGGACUCGGUUCUAUUUUGUUGGUUUGUUGGGACUGAGUAAUGAUUAAGAGGGACAGUUGGGGGCAUUUGUAUUCCGGCGCUAGAGGUGAAAUUCUUAGAUUGCCGGAAGACAAACUGCUGCGAAAGCGUCUGCCAAGGAUGUUUUCAUUGA
rnacentral:rRNA from 1 species